AUCAUGGCUCAGAACGAACGCUGGCGGCGUGCUUAACACAUGCAAGUCGGACGAGAAAUCUUGGCUUCGGUCGAGAGAGUAAAGUGGCGCACGGGUGAGUAACGCGUGGGUAACCUGCCUCCAAGAUGGGGAUAACUGUUUGAAAGGACAGCUAAUACCCAAUAAUACCCUUAAGUUUUCGGACUUUUGGGUCAAAAGAUGACCUCUAUAUAUAAGUUGUCGCUUAGAGAUGGGCCCGCGUACCAUUAGUUUGUUGGUGGGGUAAUGGCCUACCAAGACUAUGAUGGUUAGCUGGUCUGAGAGGAUGAUCAGCCACACUGGAACUGAAACACGGUCCANACUCCUACGGGAGGCAGCAGUGAGGAAUCUUGCGCAAUGGGGGAAACCCUGACGCAGCAACGCCGCGUGAGUGAGGAAGGCUUUAGGGUUGUAAAACUCUGUCAUAUGGGAAGAACGGUUACGUGUCAAUAGCGCGUAAUUAUGA
rnacentral:rRNA from 1 species